CGAGUUUUUUUUUAUUCUCGAUGUUGCACAAAUUAUUUUAUAAUGUUGCGGAUGCAAUUUUUUAUGGUGCAUGAACAAUUUUCCCAUAUUGGCAUCUUCUCCAAAUCUCCAACCAAUCAUCUUUCUGUCCUCUGAGCUGCGUGACGUUGGGUCCCCCCUCUCGUGCGAGCUGCCUGAUGGUGGGUGUAGGGUAGGGACGAAGCACGAAGCAGUAGUAUAGGAGCUCAUGGUGGUAGGACGAUG
rnacentral:lncRNA from 1 species